CAGUCGCCGCGGUAACACGUAGGUGGCGAGCGUUGUCCGGAAUUAUUGGGCGUAAAGGGAGCGCAGGCGGACAUAUAAGUCCAUCUUAAAAGUGCGGGGCUCAACCCCGUGAGGGGAUGGAAACUGUGUGCCUUGAGUGCAGGAGAGGAAAGCGGAAUUCCCAGUGUAGCGGUGAAAUGCGUAGAUAUUGGGAGGAACACCAGUGGCGAAGGCGGCUUUCUGGACUGUAACUGACGCUGAGGCUCGAAAGCCAGGGGAGCGAACGGGAUUAGAGACCCCAGUAGUCCCUGUCUCUUAUACA
rnacentral:rRNA from 1 species